AGGCUGUAACAUAAGUCUCUGCUGACCCCAACAAAAAAGAAGAGAAAAAAAAGGGAAAGCAUGUUAAAAGAAAAGGGAAAAGCCAAAAGGAAAAUGAAGGGAGAGAGAAGAAAAUAAAAGAAGUGAAGCUUCUAAGUAACCUAUAAACAAUAACCAAUACUUAAAAUGAGAAACCAGGGAACAAAAAGGCAAAAAGGAAGGAUAACCAGAUAAUUU
rnacentral:misc_RNA from 1 species